rnacentral:rRNA from 1 species
GAGUAGGGCGGGACACGUGGUAUCCUGUCUGAAUAUGGGGGGACCAUCCUCCAAGGCUAAAUACUCCUGACUGACCGAUAGUGAACCAGUACCGUGAGGGAAAGGCGAAAAGAACCCCGGCGAGGGGAGUGAAAAAGAACCUGAAACCGUGUACGUACAAGCAGUGGGAGCACGCUUAGGCGUGUGACUGCGUACCUUUUGUAUAAUGGGUCAGCGACUUAUAUUCUGUAGCAAGGUUAACCGAAUAGGGGAGCCGAAGGGAAACCGAGUCUUAACUGGGCGUUAAGUUGCAGGGUAUAGACCCGAAACCCGGUGAUCUAGCCAUGGGCAGGUUGAAGGUUGGGUAACACUAACUGGAGGACCGAACCGACUAAUGUUGAAAAAUUAGCGGAUGACUUGUGGCUGGGGGUGAAAGGCCAAUCAAACCGGGAGAUAGCUGGUUCUCCCCGAAAGCUAUUUAGGUAGCGCCUCGUGAAUUCAUCUCCGGGGGUAGAGCACUGUUUCGGCAAGGGGGUCAUCCCGACUUACCAACCCGAUGCAAACUGCGAAUACCGGAGAAUGUUAUCACGGGAGACACACGGCGGGUGCUAACGUCCGUCGUGAAGAGGGAAACAACCCAGACCGCCAGCUAAGGUCCCAAAGUCAUGGUUAAGUGGGAAACGAUGUGGGAAGGCCCAGACAGCCAGGAUGUUGGCUUAGAAGCAGCCAUCAUUUAAAGAAAGCGUAAUAGCUCACUGGUCGAGUCGGCCUGCGCGGAAGAUGUAACGGGGCUAAACCAUGCACCGAAGCUGCGGCAGCGACGCUUAUGCGUUGUUGGGUAGGGGAGCGUUCUGUAAGCCUGCGAAGGUGUGCUGUGAGGCAUGCUGGAGGUAUCAGAAGUGCGAAUGCUGACAUAAGUAACGAUAAAGCGGGUGAAAAGCCCGCUCGCCGGAAGACCAAGGGUUCCUGUCCAACGUUAAUCGGGGCAGGGUGAGUCGACCCCUAAGGCGAGGCCGAAAGGCGUAGUCGAUGGGAAACAGGUUAAUAUUCCUGUACUUGGUGUUACUGCGAAGGGGGGACGGAGAAGGCUAUGUUGGCCGGGCGACGGUUGUCCCGGUUUAAGCGUGUAGGCUGGUUUUCCAGGCAAAUCCGGAAAAUCAAGGCUGAGGCGUGAUGACGAGGCACUACGGUGCUGAAGCAACAAAUGCCCUGCUUCCAGGAAAAGCCUCUAAGCAUCAGGUAACAUCAAAUCGUACCCCAAACCGACACAGGUGGUCAGGUAGAGAAUACCAAGGCGCUUGAGAGAACUCGGGUGAAGGAACUAGGCAAAAUGGUGCCGUAACUUCGGGAGAAGGCACGCUGAUAUGUAGGUGAAGUCCCUUGCGGAUGGAGCUGAAAUCAGUCGAAGAUACCAGCUGGCUGCAACUGUUUAUUAAAAACACAGCACUGUGCAAACACGAAAGUGGACGUAUACGGUGUGACGCCUGCCCGGUGCCGGAAGGUUAAUUGAUGGGGUCAGCGCAAGCGAAGCUCUUGAUCGAAGCCCCGGUAAACGGCGGCCGUAACUAUAACGGUCCUAAGGUAGCGAAAUUCCUUGUCGGGUAAGUUCCGACCUGCACGAAUGGCGUAAUGAUGGCCAGGCUGUCUCCACCCGAGACUCAGUGAAAUUGAACUCGCUGUGAAGAUGCAGUGUACCCGCGGCAAGACGGAAAGACCCCGUGAACCUUUACUAUAGCUUGACACUGAACAUUGAGCCUUGAUGUGUAGGAUAGGUGGGAGGCUUUGAAGUGUGGACGCCAGUCUGCAUGGAG